rnacentral:rRNA from 1 species
CGAACGAAGGCGACCGACCCUCGGGGAGCUUGCACAGGUGCUGCAUGGCUGUCGUCAGCUCGUGUCGUGAGAUGUUCGGUUAAGUCCGCUAACGAGCGCAACCCUCGCUGUGUGUUACAAGUGUCACACGGUACUGCCGGUCUUAAGCCGGAGGAAGGUGGGAUGACGUCAAGUCAGCAUGGCCUUUAUGUCCUGGGCUACACACACGCUACAAUGGCCAACACAAUAGGUUGCUAAGCCGCGAGGUGGAGCCAAUCCUCAAAGUUGGUCUCAGUUCAGAUUGCAGGCUGCAACCCGCCUGCAUGAAGAUGGAGUUGCUAGUAACCGCAGGUCAGCUAUACUGCGGUGAAUACGUUCCCGGGGCUU